GAUGAACGCUGGCGGCGUGCCUAAUACAUGCAAGUCGAGCGAACGGACGAGACGCUUGCUUCUCUGAUGUUAGCGGCGGACGGGUGAGUAACACGUGGAUAACCUACCUAUAAGACUGGGAUAACUUCGGGAAACCGGAGCUAAUACCGGAUGAUAUUUUGAACCGCAUGGUUCAAUAGUGAAAGACGGUCUUGCUGUCACUUAUAGAUGGAUCCGCGCUGCAUUAGCUAGUUGGUAAGGUAACGGCUUACCAAGGCGACGAUGCAUAGCCGACCUGAGAGGGUGAUCGGCCACACUGGAACUGAGACACGGUCCAGACUCCUACGGGAGGCAGCAGUAGGGAAUCUUCCGCAAAGGGCGAAAGCCUGACGGAGCAACGCCGCGUGAGUGAUGAAGGUCUUCGGAUCGGAAAACUCUGUUAUUAGGGAAGAACAUAUGUGUAAGUAACUGUGCACAUCUUGACGGUACCUAAUCAGAAAGCCACGGCUAACUACGUG
rnacentral:rRNA from 1 species